rnacentral:misc_RNA from 1 species
AAUUCUCAGGCCGGGGGUCUCUUUUCAGAGUCGCCUUAGUCUGGCAUUGGGCUUUGCUGUGUCCAUUGAUUGGAAUGGCUGGCCUUAAAGACAUUAGCUGACCUAAGAUGUGGAAUUGGUUCUACUCAGCGUGAUAAUGACCUGACCGUUGAGGACAUCUUUCGUGAUGGCCAGUUCCCAUUUGGGUUGCUUCUAAUCAUGGUAUCUUGGGUCCGUUUUGUGGAUCUGAUUUACUUUCUUUCA